UGGACGACGUUGACGUUAAGUGCCUUAC
rnacentral:sRNA from 1 species